ACUCCUACGGGAGGCAGCAGUGGGGAAUUUUGGACAAUGGGGGAAACCCUGAUCCAGCCAUGCCGCGUGUAUGAAGAAGGCCUUAGGGUUGUAAAGUACUUUGUUAGGGAAGAAAAGCUAGUUUUUAAUAAAAUUAGUGAUGACGGUACCUAAAGAAUAAGCACCGGCUAACUACGUGCCAGCAGCCGCGGUAAUACGUAGGGUGCAAGCGUUAAUCGGAAUUAUUGGGCGUAAAGCGAGUGCAGACGGUUACUUAAGCCAGAUGUGAAAUCCCCAAGCUUAACUUGGGACGUGCAUUUGGAACUGGGGUGACUAGAGUGUGUCAGAGGGAGGUAGAAUUCCACAUGUAGCGGUGGAAUGCGUAGAGAUGUGGAGGAAUACCGAUGGCGAAGGCAGCCUCCUGGGAUAACACUGACGUUGAGGCUCGAAAGCGUGGGAGCAAACAGGAUUAGAUACCCUGGUAGACUGUCA
rnacentral:rRNA from 1 species